UGAACGCUGGCGGUAGGCCUAACACAUGCAAGUCGAACGGCAGCACAGUAAGAGCUUGCUCUUACGGGUGGCGAGUGGCGGACGGGUGAGGAAUACAUCGGAAUCUACUUUUUCGUGGGGGAUAACGUAGGGAAACUUACGCUAAUACCGCAUACGACCUACGGGUGAAAGCAGGGGAUCUUCGGACCUUGCGCGAUUGAAUGAGCCGAUGUCGGAUUAGCUAGUUGGCGGGGUAAAGGCCCACCAAGGCGACGAUCCGUAGCUGGUCUGAGAGGAUGAUCAGCCACACUGGAACUGAGACACGGUCCAGACUCCUACGGGAGGCAGCAGUGGGGAACAUUGGACAAUGGGCGCAAGCCUGAUCCAGCCAUACCGCGUGGGUGAAGAAGGCCUUCGGGUUGUAAAGCCCUUUUGUUGGGAAAGAAAAGCAGCAGGUUAAUACCCCGCUGUUCUGACGGUACCCAAAGAAUAAGCACCGGCUAACUUCGUG
rnacentral:rRNA from 1 species